rnacentral:lncRNA from 1 species
GAACGGGAAACAUGGGGGCGACGUAACAACGAUUUGCACACAACAAAUGGAGAAGGUUUUGCAUAAAGCAUACAGCGGAUUUUUGGUACAACUUGAGCAGCAAACUAAGGGAGAGCCAACAAAAUUUGAAGAUCCAAAUCUACUUCCUUUGCUUGCUGAAUUUUCAGAUAUAUUUGACGAACUGCGCAACCUACCUCUUACCCGUCGGCAUGAUCAUUGUAUAACGAUUCUUCCAGGCAAAUCUCCAGCAAAUGCUCAGCCAUAU